rnacentral:rRNA from 1 species
UACGUAGGGGGCAAGCGUUGUCCGGAAUCAUUGGGCGUAAAGCGCGUGUAGGCGGCUGACUAAGUCCGCUCUGAAAGCCCGGGGCUCAACCCCGGGAGGCGGGUGGAUACUGGUCAGCUCGAGUCCGGAAGAGGAGUGUGGAAUUCCUGGUGUAGCGGUGAAAUGCGCAGAUAUCUGGAGGAAUACCGGUGGCGAAGGCGGCAUCCUGGACCGGCAUUGACGCUGAGGAGCGAAAGCCAGGGGAGCAAAGCGGG